AGCUCCCCAGACUAUUUACUAUCAGAGCUGUGGAGUGUGACAAUGGUGUUUGUGUCCAAUCUAUCAAACGCCAUUAUCACACUAAAUAGCUACUGUUAGAUAUGCCAUCCAUUUGCAG
rnacentral:pre_miRNA from 14 species